rnacentral:rRNA from 1 species
UACGGGGGGGCAAGCGUUGUUCGGAAUUACUGGGCGUAAAGGGUGCGUAGGCGGUUCGCUAAGUUGGAUGUGAAAACUCUGGGCUUAACCCAGAGCCUGCAUCCAAUACUGACGAGCUAGAGUUCUGGAGGGGGUAGCGGAAUUCCUGGUGUAGCGGUGAAAUGCGUAGAUAUCAGGAGGAACACCGGUGGCGAAGGCGGCUACCUGGACCGAUAUUGACGCUGAGACGCGAAAGCGUGGGGAGCAAACAGG